GUUUUAAUAAUUUAAAUAAAAAUAUUGGUCUUGUAAACCAAAAACAAGGAAAUCCUUUUAAAACU
rnacentral:tRNA from 1 species